GGAAAGCGGCGCGUCUGCAAAGCCUAAAUCCUCCUGCCCUGAGGAGGAUCCCGGUCCUUUCAACUCCGCGGGUCUGGUUUCCCCAUCCAAGAGCAGCCUUAGGAUCACGUUUCGCAACGUGCGCUUGUCCGGAAGGCUGCAGUUUUCCUUUGCAAGUCGUUCUCAGUAAGCGGCAUGUGCUGAACUUGGAGCGCGCAGCUACUUCCCCAAAGCGGCGUGGAAACUCUUCGCGGCUCCGGAACAUUUCACUUGGUUCAAAGCACUUCGCGUACUUUUAGCUCGGUCGACAAACUGGUCAAGUAGAUCAUUAUUAUUGCUCCCGCCACGUUCCAGAGACAGAGCAUUGUACCGAAGUAAUUAGAAAGCAGAAAGUCUGCCAGAGAAGUGCUGGAGGACAGAGGUGCAAAGGAGAACCGAAGAAAGACAGAUUCUUUGCCUCUGUCUUCAUUGUGAAAGACAGCUGGAGAGAUGUUCAUGCGCCACAACCUACAGCCUUGUUUCCUGGCAGUGUAGCUGAGACACCAAACGGCAAAUAAAUGUGACAAAGGAUAAAGCCUGAGCUGUGUUUCCGGUAAAUGGGAAGCAAACGUGACAAAGGCCACAACACAUGCAGAAGGGCAGCAAGACUUGCAGCCGAUGAGUCAGCCAUGGCUUCUGUGAGGAGAAGCAUUGGCUCAACGACACCAGCCUUUCAGAACGACAACAAACACUCUGGUCCAGUGGGCACGGGAUUCCUGAAUGCGAAGCAUAAACAAAUAAACCAGAAAGCAGAUGGCAGGCAUAAAUCUUAUUAUAAAACAGCACAAAGCAGUUGCUUCAGGCAGCAGAUUUCCAAGCAGGAGGGCAACCAGCCUCAAAUCUCUUUUUCUGUUCCAUUAAAAAUGAAAACAAAACCAAGUUCCAUUCAAGAAUAGGGGCAGUCACAUUUUCUGACAUUUUGAUUUGGGCUUGAAAAUGGCUUAUUUCCUGCAACAAAAGGAAAUAAACUGCAGGAUCCCCAAGGAUCUCUGCAUGAUAUUA